AUAAUCUCUGAAUUCAAAGCCAGGUUGAUAA
rnacentral:piRNA from 1 species